rnacentral:rRNA from 1 species
GAUGAACGCUGGCGGCGUGCCUAAUACAUGCAAGUCGAGCGAACCACUUCGGUGGUGAGCGGCGAACGGGUGAGUAACACGUAGGUGAUCUGCCCAUCAGACGGGGACAACGAUUGGAAACGAUCGCUAAUACCGGAUAGGACGAAAGUUUAAAGGUGCUUCUGGCACCGCUGAUGGAUGAGCCUGCGGGGCAUUAGCUAGUUGGUAGGGUAAAGGCCUACCAAGGCGACGAUGCGUAGCCGACCUGAGAGGGUGAACGGCCACACUGGGACUGAGACGCGGCCCAGACUCCUACGGGAGGCAGCAGUAGGGAAUCUUCGGCAAUGGGCGAAAGCCUGACCGAGCAACGCCGCGUGAAUGAAGAAGGCCUUCGGGUUGUAAAAUUCUGUUAUAAGGGAAGAACGACUUUAGUAGGAAAUGGCUAGAGUGUGACGGUACCUUAUGAGAAAGCCACGGCUAACUACGUGCCAGCCGCCGCGGUAACAC